rnacentral:lncRNA from 1 species
AUGAAGCUUAGAAGAAAAACACUGUAUAUGACAGGAGGCUGCAUCUGCAGAGUACUGAGUGAUGCAGAAGACACGCGUGUGUACACAAACAGGCCUAGGAUAUUACCUGCAUCAGCACAUACUCAUGAAGAGACACUUCAGAUUUUGAAGCGAAUUUCCAGUGGAACACUUAAUGAAGUCCUGGUCUGCACAGAGGGCAGGAUGCCACAAGUGCACUUCAGAGCACAUCUUCAGCUCUCAGAAAGGAAGACUAUUUCCUGUUUUGCUAAGUGAAGGAAACUGAGGCAGAGGGACAAAGUUGUAUUUCCAAAAUAUCAGUGAGGAAAACUCGAAAAGUUCCUUAGCUGCCAGCUACAGUAAAGAUUGCAGUAUCUGGAAGUUGUUCUGUUCUCUCACAUUAACCCUACUGAAGAAGUACCAAAAUGGGAAUCAAGCUCUGUACACAAAUCAAAAGGCUGAACUGAUACAGCCAGAGAAGUUCUAGAAGAAGCAAACAUUCCAGUGGCAAAAUGUGUGGUGCUGAUCCUGUUGGCUUUCCUAUAGAGACACUGAGAAGAAAAAACUCCUCUGGAAUCAGAGGAAGAGCUUAACUUCCAAGGGAAGUUUUUCAUUCUUCUGUGAUUACAAAGAAAGCCUAGGGAGAUCUGAGUAGCAAGGCUGAAGUUUGGUUCUUUAUAGUGCAAGUGAACGAUUUUAUGAUUUCCCAUUUCUAUAACAUUCCUUCUUUCUUUUCCUCUGAUAUCUG